GGAGUCGACUCGAGAUUCAGACUUUGGUUCAAAUUGAUUUCCAUACUUAGCCAAAGUGUAUUGAACCAAAGCUAGAGACACUUAAACAUAAAUUCACAAAUAUUUGACUGAAACACUAGAUUGAAUUCAUUAGUAUGACAUAAGAUAUACUCAAAUGCUUUGAGCUCAUCAAAAUCAAAUAGGGUUAUAAUCAAUCACUCCACAAAAUGGCAUCAUUAACAUAAUACUCUGACAACCAUUCUCUUGAGGAACAGCAGCACGUACCAAGAAAAGAAUUGCAGAGAUUAACAAACGUCUUUAAUCAAAUUUCAAUCUUUCAACAAAUCUUAAUUAGUAGUUCCAACCGAAUAUAUAAUUCAGCCCGAAACUUCCAAACGAAAAUAACAAGGACUACAUCGAAAGAAACAAACUCGCCAUCCUUCUACUCCUCUUCCUCCAAAGAUGCCUCCACUCGAAGAAUAACGAAGCCCACGGCCACCCCGAUC
rnacentral:lncRNA from 1 species